AAAAGAAAAAAAAAAAGGCAUCUUUAACUGCAAUGAUCCCUGUAGGUAGCAUAAUAAACACACACACCUUGCUGUGGAUUUCUCCUUUGCCGUGAAGCUGGAGAGCUGGGUAGCUACUCUCCUUCACCAGUGGAGUGAGAUACGGUGGCAGGAGUGCAUUCUGGAGACCCGACUCUUUCACAGUGUAGCCAUGUGAUUAGAGAUACACCACUGUGUGAUCAGGUCCAUCUAAAUGUUAGAGUGAUAACUCGGUUGCCCUUGGACCGCCUGCAAAGGUAGCCAAUGAAGAAUGCCAACGAGAGGAACUCACAGACAUUUGGAAUGCAGAAGUGAAGCGGAGCCAUUAUUCUCCAGAAGUGGCUGUAGGCAGAGAGGAGAGUCCCAGGGGCUUCCAGAGAGUUCUCAAGAACCAUCUGCUUUGCCGCAGCGGACGGAGGCUGUUGAAGCUCCUCUAAGAUUCCUGAGAAUUAUAGCAG